rnacentral:rRNA from 1 species
UACGUAGGGUGCGAGCGUUGUCCGGAAUUACUGGGCGUAAAGAGCUCGUAGGUGGUUUGUCGCGUCGUCUGUGAAAUUCCGGGGCUUAACUUCGGGCGUGCAGGCGAUACGGGCAUAGCUUGAGUGCUGUAGGGGAGACUGGAAUUCCUGGUGUAGCGGUGGAAUGCGCAGAUAUCAGGAGGAACACCGAUGGCGAAGGCAGGUCUCUGGGCAGUAACUGACGCUGAGGAGCGAAAGCAUGGGGAGCGAACAGG